rnacentral:rRNA from 1 species
CACGUAGGGGGCGAGCGUUGUCCGGAUUUAUUGGGCGUAAAGAGCUCGUAGGCGGCUCAAUAAGUCAGGUGUGAAAACUCCAGGCUCAACCUGGAGACGCCACUUGAUACUGCUGUGGCUAGAGUCCGGUAGGGGAGCAUGGAAUUCCUGGUGUAGCGGUGAAAUGCGCAGAUAUCAGGAGGAACACCGGUGGCGAAGGCGGGUCUCUGGGCCGUAACUGACGCUGAGGAGCGAAAGCGUGGGAGCGAACAGG